CCUACGGGAGGAGGCAGCANUGGGGAAUANUGCGCAAUGGGGGAAACCCUGACGCAGCGACGCCGCGUGAGCGAAGAAGGCCUUAGGGUUGUAAAGCUCUGUUUUAGGGGACGAAUGUUUACCUGAGUAAUAUGCGGGUAAAAUGACNGUACCCUAAGAGGAAGCCCCGGCUAACUACGUGCCAGCANANNCGGUAAU
rnacentral:rRNA from 1 species